CUAAUUAGUCUAAGUUGUGUAGUUUCUACUUCCGGUCAGACGACAGAUGUAUUUGAGCCUCCUCGGCUUCCUUCGACCAGCGAUUCGUGUAGAACUCGAUACACGCGACAUCCUGGUCUAAUAAUACACCCAUGCUUAAUGUGCACAGACUGAGGCCUGUGGAGCCACACGCACACACGCACGCACGCGCGCGCACACACACACAUACGUAGAGCCUGUAUUGGCCGCUGGAUCCUACGUCAACGUCUCCGCCAUUUUAUAAUCCAGGGUUUAUGAUUAUAUGGAGUAGAAAUAAAAGUUUUGUCUCCAGUUUCUUAGAUAGAUAGUUCAGGCUGUUAUCAGUUUUCCAUAAGGAGUGUGUGACGUCACGUGUACACAGUGGCGCCGCAGCUGUACUCAUGUAGGAGAGAGUGGGGUAAUUAGUGCCAAGGGGCAAGUAGUGCCACCCCUGUAUCUAGAAAACCAUAGAAGAAGUUGGUCACGUCACCACAUGCUUUUGAAGAGGCAUCUAUUUCACUCAUCCUGCAAACAGGGGAGACACGUGUGAGAGAAUCCAUCACGAAUACAAACAGAAGACUGAGAGGAGAGGGACUUUCUGAUUCCACUUAGCCAUGCCACUGAUUAUGAGAGUUCAGGUGUCCAGAGUGAUGAUGAUGAUGAUGAUGAUGACAAGGAUCUGUCUGCUGGUAACUUUGUCAUUGUGAGGUUUGCAGGUAAAAAAUUGGUGGAGAGUGUUGAAGGUGAUGAGAUCAGUGCAACGUUUCUGAAGCAAAGCUGUAAGAGGUCUGUUGAUGGAAAGCUCAUCUUCACAUUUAGAGAGAAUGAUGAAGGACUCAUCCAUAAAGGGGAUGUGCUCAAGAAACUACCCACACCACGAAAACCUGGUGGUACUGCUGGAAGAGAGCAUAAGUUCACAUUUCCAUGCAGCAGUAGCGGGCCGGUUCUGUGAAGAGAUCCAGAUCCAGAUCAUUUGCAUGAUCAGGUUUUCAUUUGGAUUUUUGAUUUUGUUCUGAGCGUGUUGCUCUGAGUCGAGGUUCAUGUCUUUAAGUUCAUGUCAGGCUUUGUUUGUUAAAUGAACGUUAAAUAAGUCAUUUUGCAUUGAAUUUGUCUUGAUUUUUAUAUACCAUUAUCUUUUGUGAGAUUAAAAUGAUCUGUUUUACUUCAGUUAUCAAUGGCACAAUUUACCCCAGUGUAUUCUCUCUAAUGGCACAAUUUACCCCAGUGUAUUCUCUCUAAUGGCACAAUUUACCCCAGUGUAUUCUCUCUAAUGGCACAAUUUACCCCAGUGUAUUCUCUCUAAUGGCACAAUUUACCCCGCAGUGGGGGCAAGUUGUGCCACAAGACCACUUUUUUUUCUAAAGCUAUAUUUCUCAACAGUUUAUUUAAGAUCCAGAGUGAUUGUCCCCAGAGACGCUCAACAUCCUAAACUAUAUGUACAUGUUUGAGUUGGAGGCGUUACUGUCAUCCCCUACUUACCUCACUCUCCCCUCCGGACUGCAGACAUGUUUUAAAUGAUAUUAUUUGUUUGUUUGUUUUUCAUCAUCUAUGUUGAAAAGAAAUAAAAUGGUGGAGAACCUUCCUGAACUUCAGCUGCAUCGGUCUGAGUCUGGACGGAAGAGAGCAAGAGACAAAAGAGGAGUUCAGGCGGAAGGAGGCGGAUCACAGUCCUGAUCUCCUGCUCGUUUACUCUUGGAUGAGAAGACGUGGUCAUGUAUGGGACACCAGUGGACAUGCGGUUCUUAAUUAUUAUGAGAGGGUGCCCCAGGUGUCAGACCAGGUGUGGCCCCUCCCAUCCCGCAGCAGCUGGACAGCAGAAACAUCCACUUCCUGUGAGCGCUGAGUGACAUCAUUGAGAUCCGCAGAGAGAGAGAGAGAGAGAGAUGCCUCAACAACAGCUCCACCUGCUG